rnacentral:rRNA from 1 species
GAGUGCCUACGGGGCGCAGCAGUGAGGAAUAUUGGUCAAUGGGCGGGAGCCUGAACCAGCCAAGUCGCGUGAGGGAUGACGGCCCUAUGGGUUGUAAACCUCUUUUGCCGGGGAGCAAAGUGCCGCACGUGUGCGGUUUGGAGAGUACCCGGAGAAAAAGCAUCGGCUAACUCCGUGCCAGCAGCCGCGGUAAUACGGAGGAUGCGAGCGUUAUCCGGAUUUAUUGGGUUUAAAGGGUGCGUAGGCGGAAUAUCAAGUCAGCGGUAAAAAUUCGGGGCUCAACCCCGUCGUGCCGU